GUAUAUGGUCAUAUCACCCUGAACACGCCUCAUCUCGUCUGAUCUCGGAAGCUAAGCAGGGCUGGGCCUGGCUGAUACUUGGAUGGGAGAAGAACAAACAACAAAAUUUA
rnacentral:rRNA from 1 species